UACGGAGGGGGCUAGCGUUGUUCGGAAUUACUGGGCGUAAAGCGCACGUAGGCGGCUUUGUAAGUUAGAGGUGAAAGCCUGGUCCUCAACUCCAGAACUGCCUUUGAUACUGAGGAGCUUGAGUCCGGGAGAGGUGAGUGGAACUGCGAGUGUAGAGGUGAAAUUCAUAGAUAUUCGCAAGAACACCAGUGGCGAAGGCGGCUCACUGGCCCGGUACUGACGCUGAGGUGCGAAAGCGUGGGGAGCAAACAGG
rnacentral:rRNA from 1 species